rnacentral:lncRNA from 1 species
UACUAAUUAAUAUGUUUUCUUUGUUUGUAAUGUAGGCUUGACACAAACUCAAUCUUCUACAAGUUCAAUGUCUCCUCCAAAAGCUUCGACAUCUCAAACUUGAAUAACUGAUCAAUGAAUUCUCUUUUUUGAAGUUUACUUCCAAUUUUCAUUUGGUUUGAAACUUUAAUUUCUAUUUGGAUUGUUAACUUCUAUUUGU